CCUACGGGUGGCUGCAAUUAGGAAUCUUGCGCAAUGGGCGAAAGCCUGACGCAGCGACGCCGCGUGACUGAUGAAGUCCUUCGGGAUGUAAAAGUCUUUUAGCAGGGAAGAAGAUCUGACGGUCCCUGCUGAAUAAGCUCCGGCUAACUACGUGCCAGCAGCCGCGGUAAUACGUAGGGAGCGAGCGUUGUCCGAAGUUACUGGGCGUAAAGCGCGCGUAGGCGGUUGCUUAAGUUAGAUGUGAAAUCCUGGGGCUCAACCCCAGAACUGCAUCUAAAACUGGGCGACUGGAGGACGGAAGAGGGCAGUGGAAUUCCUGGUGUAGCGGUGAAAUGCGUAGAUAUCAGGAGGAACACCCGUGGCGAAGGCGGCUGCCUGGUCCGUAUCUGACGCUGAGGUGCGAAAGCUAGGGGAGCGAACGGGAUUAGAUACCCGUGUAGUC
rnacentral:rRNA from 1 species